rnacentral:rRNA from 1 species
AUUGAACGCUGGCGGCAGGCUUAACACAUGCAAGUCGAACGGUAACAUAAAGGAUCUUGCUUCUUUGAUGACGAGUGGCGGGCGGGUGAGUAAUGCUUGGGCAUCUAGCUUAUGGAGGGGGAUAACUACGGGAAACUGUUGCUAAUACCGCGUAGAAUCGGGAGAUGAAAGUGUGUGAGCUUCGGGCCACAUGCCAGAGGAUGAGCCCAAGUGGGAUUAGGUAGUUGGUGAGGUAAAGGCUCACCAAGCCGACGAUCUCUAGCUGGUCUGAGAGGAUGACCAGCCACACUGGGACUGAGACACGGCCCAGACUCCUACGGGAGGCAGCAGUGGGGAAUAUUGCGCAAUGGGGGCAAGCCUGACGCAGCCAUGCCGCGUGAGUGAAGAAGGCCUUCGGGUUGUAAAGUUCUUUAGGUGGGGAGGAAGGCAUUUAGUUUAAUAGCCUAGGGGAUUGACGGUAACUACAGAAGAAGCACCGGCUAACUCCGUG